rnacentral:rRNA from 1 species
GACGAACGCUGGCGGCGGGCUUAACACAUGCAAGUCGAACGGAAAGGCACUGCGUGCGUGGGGUGCUCGAGUGGGGAACGGGGGAGUAACACGUGAGUAACCUGCCCUUGACUUUGGGAGAACUUCAGGAAACGGGGGCUAAUAUCAGACAGGAGCCGCUGUUCCAGGGAGGGGGGUGGAAAGUUUGGGCGGUUGGGGAUGGACGCGCGGCUUAUCAGCUUGUUGGUGGGGUAGUGGCUUACCAAGGCUUUGACGGGUAGCCGGCCUGAGAGGGUGACCGGCCACAUUGGGACUGAGAUACGGCCCAGACUCCUACGGGAGGCAGCAGUGGGGAAUAUUGCACAAUGGGCGGAAGCCUGAUGCAGCAACGCCGCGUGCGGGAUGACGGCCUUCGGGUUGUAAACCGCUUUCGCCUGUGACGAAGCGUGAGUGACGGUAAUGGGUAAAGAAGCACCGGCUAACUACGUG